CGACGACGGGUAGCCGGCCUGAGAGGGUGACCGGCCACACUGGGACUGAGACACGGCCCAGACUCCUACGGGAGGCAGCAGUGGGGAAUAUUGCGCAAUGGGCGAAAGCCUGAUGCAGCGACGCCGCGUGAGGGAUGACGGCCUUCGGGUUGUAAACCUCUUUCACCAGGGACGAAGCGAAUGUGAC
rnacentral:rRNA from 1 species